GAUGAACGCUAGCUACAGGCUUAACACAUGCAAGUCGAGGGGUAACGAGAGGAAAGCUUGCUUUCCUUGUCGACGACCGGCGCACGGGUGAGUAACGCGUAUCCAACCUGCCCCCAACUAAGGAAUAACCUUGCGAAAGUAAGACUAAUACCUUAUACUUUCCUCAGAUGUCAUCUGACGAGGAAUAAAGAUUUAUCGGUUGUGGUUGGGGAUGCGUCGGAUUAGCUUGUUGGCGGGGUAACGGCCCACCAAGGCAACGAUCAGUAGGGGUUCUAAGAGGAAGGUCCCCCACAUUGGAAAUGAGACACGGUCCAAACUCCUACGGGAGGCAGCAGUGAGGAAUAUUGGUCAAUGGGCGGAAGCCUGAACCAGCCAAGUAGCGUGCAGGAUGACGGCCCUAUGGGUUGUAAACUGCUUUUAUACAGGAAUAAAGUUAGCCACGUGUGGUUAUUUGUAGGUACUGUAUGAAUAAGGACCGGCUAAUUCCGUGCCAGCCGCCGCAGUAA
rnacentral:rRNA from 1 species